rnacentral:rRNA from 1 species
UGUGUAGGCGGGCUUGUAAGUCAGAGGUGAAAUCCUGCGGCUCAACCGUAGAACUGCCUUUGAUACUGCAGGUCUUGAGUCCUGGAGAGGUUGCUAGAAUUCGUGGUGUAGCGGUGAAAUGCGUAGAUAUCACGAGGAAUACCGGUUACGAAGGUUGGCAACUGGACAGGCACUGACGCUGAGGCACGAAAGCGUGGGGAGCAAACA